CCACGUCAGUUUUUUCCUUCGUUC
rnacentral:rRNA from 1 species